GGAUUGACUGAUUGAUUAAUUAACAGAUUGACUGGUGACUGAGUUCCUGACUUGUUUACUGACAGACCUUACUGUCACUGCUUCCUGCGAAGAACUCAAAGACUUAUGUCAUAGAGCCUCCUACUUAAGUAAAAAAGCUGUUAACUGACAUUUCAUUUUCUUUUUCCAAAAGGAGCUUAGUUUAAUACAGUAAAUGUACAAGUAACAAAAGUAGAUUCAAUAUCCACCUUUGGAGAUUUUCAUGUUUUCACUUCAGGUGAUGACUACACACUGUUCUCUGACCUUUUCUCACGUGUGAAGCACUUUCAAAAGUCUUUCAAAACAUUUUGUUCCUGGAAGUAGCCCUGUUUCUAGUAGGUACUACAGGAUGCUUUUGGCAACAAAGAACAUAAUAAGUUAUUUAUUUCACAAGCAAGAAAAUAAAGUGGCUUUUUCAAAUCUUAGAGACUCGAUUUUAAUUCUAACUUGGUCAUUCUUCCUUGUUUUUUCUUCUUUUUGUUAUGUAUUGUAUUACUUAGAGAAACACCUUUAAAACUCUCUCAAAACCUUCAUUUUUUUCUGCAGAGUAGGUUCUCAUUUUCUAAGGUUGUUAAUCCGAUUGCUAUUAAUAUCAGGCCAACACUGCACCAUGGGCCCAGAUAUAAUCAGAUACAGCAUUACAUUACAAAGCAGGGAGAGGAGGAGGAGGAGGGAGGGAGGCUGAACUUUGUCCCAGUUCCCUGGCUGCUUGUUGUUGCAGCUGAAGGGAACAGCACGUUCAGUUCUGCAGCUUCACUGUUGAAUGACAAACAAAGUCACACUUUCAGCGUGACUCAUAAGAAGAUAGUUACUGUAGAAGAUUCUGAAAGGUUGAACUCCGGUAAUAACAUGAGGCUCUUCCACAGAAUGUUGCUUUAAAAAAAAAAAAAAAAAAAGGGUAGACCAUUAUGAAAGUAACAUUUUGGGCAUGAACUGCCAUUCUGCAGGCCACAUUUGACUUGAUGAUGCAAAAGGUAAAUGAUCUGCUUAUAUUUACAGUAUUUUCAACGUUUUGAGGCUAAUUCAAGAUGUGUUGGCUUCUAAUGUUGCUGAUCUUGGGAGGUUUGGCACAUACAGGAAUGCACAGAAAGGUUGUUUUAGGCCUUUACAACUGACAUGAUCUAUUAAGUUAUAGAACUUGGGAAAACAUAACAGGACUAGCUGAGUGAAAUAAGAGAACGAUUAUGAGACGGUGCUCCAUGACUUUUGUGACUCGUGGUAUUUGAAAAUGUCCACCGAUGGAAAUGCGAUAGUGUGAUGUGAUAUUUUAAAGACCCAGAAGGUGGUUU